rnacentral:rRNA from 1 species
GACGAACGCUGGCGGCGUGCUUAACACAUGCAAGUCGAACGAAGUGGCGAACGGGUGAGUAACGCGUAAACAACCUGCCCUUCAGAGGGGGACAACAGUUGGAAACGACUGCUAAUACCGCAUACUGAAGGAGGGGAUUGCGUGGGAUUAGCUAGUUGGAGGGGUAACGGCCUACCAAGGCGAAGAUCAGUAGCCGGUCUGAGAGGCUUAUCGGCCACAUUGUGACUGAGACACGGCCCAGACUCCUACGGGAGGCAGCAGUGGGGAAUCUUCCGCAAUGGACGGAAGUCUGACGGAGCAACGCCGCGUGAGUGAUGACGGCUUUCGGGUUGUAAAGCUCUGUUAAUCGGGACGCGGUACCGGAAUAGAAAGCCACGGCUAACUACGUGCCAGCCGCCGCGGUAAUUC